rnacentral:rRNA from 1 species
AACGAACGCUGGCGGCAUGCCUAACACAUGCAAGUCGAACGAGACCUUCGGGUCUAGUGGCGCACGGGUGCGUAACGCGUGGGAACCUGCCCUUAGGUUCGGAAUAACUCCCCGAAAGGGGUGCUAAUACCGGAUAAUGUCUUCGGACCAAAGAUUUAUCGCCUUUGGAUGGGCCGGCGUUGGAUUAGCUAGUUGGUAGGGUAAAAGGCUACCAAGGCGACGAUCCAUAGCUGGUCUGAGAGGAUGAUCAGCCACACUGGGACUGGGACACGGCCCAGACUCCUACGGGAGGCAGCAGUGGGGAAUAUUGGACAGUGGGCGAAAGCCUGAUCCAGCAAUGCCGCGUGAGUGAUGAAGGCCUUAGGGUUGUAAAGCUCUUUUACCCGGGAUGAUAAUGACAGUACCGGGAGAAUAAGCUCCGGCUAACUCCGUG